CUGCUCACUUCAGCAGCACAUAUGGUAAAAUUGGAAUGAUACAGGGAAGAUUAGCAUGGCCUCUGUGCAAGGAUGACGUGCAAAUUUGUGACAUGUCCCAUACUAAA
rnacentral:snRNA from 1 species